ACCACUUCCUCUCACAGUGCCUAUUUUCCUGAUCUCACGGGACUCUCUUUACUACUGUAUGAUCCUCUAAAUUGGGUAGUACAGCCAGGGAGACUUCCAUCAUCAGUCUUAAAGGACUCACAUACCCUGUUACAGGGCUCCUGCUGAGGAAUAAAACUACUGGGUGAAUAGCAGAAAACUUGCAAAGCUGGGAGCUCGUUUUGUUAAUGCAUCCAGCAAUCUACUUUAGCUUCCUGUUCCUGAGGCAGCGAAUGGCUAUAUCUGUGCUACAUAAUCUGCCUGAGUCUGAUCUCAGUCACUCCGAUAUGAAUCUCAAAUAACUCCACUGGAGGCACAGGCAAUGGAUUUAUCUCAACAAAGAAACAGUGAUCUGCAGAUUCGAACAUGAAGUCUUCAGAAAACAUGCUCUCUCAUCAGAUGACUAAUAUAUACUGUUUGGACCGGAAACACCACAAGAUCAACUUCUUUGGUGACAUCUCAGUCAGCACGUCUGCAUUUGGCCCCAACCAGAAGUCUGAGGUGUGCUAAAUUUUAAAAAAGGGCCCCAAGAGAGAAUUUGGAGGAGGGAAUCCAGCUAACAUGACUAUGGCUGACUGAAAAGGGGGAUGCAAACACUGGCUGACUAAAAGACAA